rnacentral:rRNA from 1 species
GGCCCUCGAAUGACUAGCUACUGAAUCAUAGAAUUUCUUAAAAUUCAUGAUGUCGUAAGGGAAAAUAAUGAUAAUACCUUACUAUGAGUGUCGUCCAAAUCUGGUGCCAGAAGACUCGGUAAGACCAGAGACGCAAACGUUAAUCAUCUUAAACAGGCGUAAAGGGUUUGUAGGCAGCUUUCAUAUGAAUAUAAUUACAAAAUAAAGUAGUCUAAUUGAAAGCUAGAAUCAAAAAGAGGUUAUAGUGUAUAACGCCUAGAUGAGGGCUGAUAUCCGUAGAUCCUAGGUAGAAUACUUAAGGCGAAGGCCACUCUCCACUAAUGAUUGACGCUGAGAAACGAGGGUUAGGGCAGGAAAUAGGAUUAGAUACCCUGGUACUCCUUUCUGUAAACGAUGAAUGGUAGUUAUUAGUUUUUUAAAUUAACUAGUGGCGAAGUUAACACAAUAACCAUUCCGCCUUGUGAGUAUUACUGCAAAGUAGAAAACAAAAAAAUUAGUCGGUCUCGAAGCAAACGGAGUGAAGCAUGUUAUUUAAUAAAUAAAAUCCGCGCAAAUGUGUG